rnacentral:rRNA from 1 species
UACGUAGGGUGCGAGCGUUAAUCGGAUUUACUGGGCGUAAAGCGUGCGCAGGCGGCCCGUUAAGACAGGUGUGAAAUCCCUGGGCUCAACCUAGGAAUUGCGCUUGUGACUGGCGGGCUCGAGUACGGUAGAGGGGGGUGGAAUUCCUGGUGUAGCAGUGAAAUGCGUAGAGAUCAGGAGGAACACCGAUGGCGAAGGCAGCCCCCUUGGCCUGUACUGACGCUCAUGCACGAAAGCGUGGGGAGCAAACAGG